AAGUUUCUUGGGAGUCGGUUUCUGCUGUUUCUGAAGCAGUUUCAAUCCUUGAAUGGGAGGGAGGAUCUGGGAGUAGCUUUUUCUCUGCUUUCCUCUGCCAGGCUUAGCAGAAGGUUUAUUCUCCAGAUGCAGUUAAAGGCUUCAAGGACCCCAAUGGGCAACUCCUGGGCACCUUCAGCUUCCUCCCAGGGGAGUCGUGAUCAUCAGGAUGGAAGGGGCUUCUCUUCUGUGCUGUGGCCCACUUCAUCAAGUGAAAAAGAGGCACCAAAACAGGACCAUGAAAGAUUUGGGGGACAAGCGGUGUUUCCUUUGAUCUAUAUGGUGUAAGGUCAAGAGGUGUAAAGAUAAAGCAGGAUCUGGCAAGGAAACAGCGGACUUUGAAAGAAGGUGUAGUAGUCAAGAAGAGAAGAGAAGGACCAGGCUGGCCAUUUACUGCUUCCCUGCCCUGAGGAAAAUCCCAUUAUCCACUUCAAAAUGAAAUUUGGCACCACUGAAUAGCAAAAGUUCAGAAAUAAGAAUGGUCCAUAUACUAACUUUGGUAUUUAAGGAGACAAUGAUGACAGGCUGGCAUUUCAGGAGGACCUCCCCCCUUCUGCACCCGGCCCCGGGGCUGUCCCGCACCCCCCCUCCUGAAGCCGGCCCCGGGGCUGUCCCGCACCCCCCCCUUCUGAGCCAGCCCCGGGGCUGUCCCGCACCCCCCUUCUGCACCCGGCCCCGGGGCUGUCCCGCACCCCCCUUCUGCAGCCGGCCCCGGGGCUGUCCCACACCCCCCUUCUGCAGCCGGCCCCGGGACAGCCCCGCACCCCCCUUCUGCAGCCGGCCCCGGGACAGCCCCGCAUCCUCCUUCUGCAGCUGGCUACAGUUCAGUCCUGCUUGCCCCAACCCCACCCAUGAUUUACCUCAGGGUAGGGAUUAAAAGGCUGACCGAGAAACAAAGAGAACUCCUGCAGAAGUUACUCCAGCCAGUAAAUGCAAGGGAAAUGCAGAAUCCCAGGAGGAUGGGGCAGCUCUCGAUGGAGCAUCUCUAGUCGGUGACCCAGGAGUGGAAAAUGCUGUUGAGAUUAACGCUGUAUUACCCAAGGACUUGCCUCUCAGCUGAACCAAGGUUAAAGUCAGUAUCAGUUAUUGUUUUUGUAUUUUUGUUUAUGAAUUCCUUUCCCCGUAUUCCCCAAUUUGGGUGCAAAGACAUGGCGAACCCGAUUUGGGGAUGGAUCCUCAGAAGUCUUCGAUGUGGGUGUGUCUGGGGAGCAAAGGGGCUAUGCAGAAGGGACUGGCUGCAUCCCAGUCCCAAUUCUGUGGAGGCCUGGAGAAGACAAGAACUGGACCAGGCCAGGAUGAAUGAGGAGCCUGGGAGGAGAGUGUGGCAGUGGAGGUGGGGCAGCUCUACUGGACUCCAUGGGACACUGGUGUGCUGUCCUCCUCUGCUUCCAUUUGUAUAUAAAAUGAGGUUUUUUAAGUUGAUGGUAAGACUUUCAUUUCAUUUUAUAUUUAAAAUGUUUGUAUCUUUUAUAUUCAAACUGCUCUUUAUUAAGACACCCCGGGGUAGUGUGCAGCCCAUUGGACCCUUUGCAUGAAGCGGCACAUUCUUGUAAUUCAUUUCAGUAGAUCCCAGUUAUGAAUUCCAAAGUGGGGCUUCCCCCCAGUUUCUGGGAAGAUAAAGCACCCCAUUCAGUGCCAGUGCAAACACCUUUCCACUGUCGAGCACUUUCCAGAUUACAGUUACAACUGCCGUAAAAUGCUUCUGCUUGGCAGGAUUGAAUUGACAACGUAAUGAAAGGGUGUUGUGCAAGUCCACCAGCAGGGGGAGCAGUCUUUUCUAGUUUGCCUGAAACUCCUAAAAUGGAAAAAUACAGCAAUCUAAUAAUAAAAUAAAAUAAUAAUAAAACCCGAAAGAAGCCAUUGGAAAUGUGAAUGGCACCUUGCUGACAGCGCAGGGACUGUGGUGUCAAUAGGCAGGCAAUACGGAAGCACACUUUGCGGAUCCGUAGCGACACUGUGGUAAGGGUUAAUCUGGAAAGCACCCAGGCUGACCUGUGCAACUAACUCCUUGCAGCUGAGCAAACUUGAGUCUGAGUGUUUUCUUAUAGGAAGCACACAGCUACAUCUCCAAACAGAAAUACUACCAGCUGGGCAAAAGAAGGGGAAAGGGGUGGUUGGGACAGGGAAGGAAAGAAGGAAGGAAGAAAAACCCACUGGGCAAGAGAAGGGGGAAAGUGUCUUGUGGGCGGGGGGAGGGAGGGUACCAGAAAAAGGGAACCUCACUGGGGAACAGAAGGGGAAAGGCCCACAGGGCAGGAACAGUCAGAAGGGGCUUGAGGGGAGCAACCAAGCCCACGCAGACAACAGCUUCCUCAGAAGAACCACCGGCAGCCAUUUUCUCUGAGAAGAAGAGAGCUUGCUUCAACCCCUCCUUCCUCCUGCUGCAGCCUCCUGUCUUCCCUGAUCGGCCAGGGAAGAUUGGAAGCAGUCUUCUGACUGUUUGGCCAGGUGCUCCAGGCGGCACUUGGGCCAAGCAGACACUGGCACUCAACAGUUGGGGGGAUGGCAGGUGGGCACCCCACCCCCACCCCCAAACAUCAAGCUAUCCUGUCUACCCAAGCAUUGCCCAUCCCCCUGAUGAAAAAAGUAAAAGUCAAUAACAAUAACAAUACACAGGCUGUGGCAAUCAGCCUGGUCGUUGUUCCUCCUGGGGUGAGGGGGGUGGGCAAUGCUUAGGGGAGUACCGAAACAAUCCCUCAGGAUAGCUUGACUGGCCACUAUUCUGGCCAACCAUGGAAGAGAAGCAGCUACAGCAGCAGGGAGAAGGGGCAAAGCAAAUUCCCUUCUCUUCAGAGAAAAUGGCACUCUCGCUCUCUUCUGGUUAAGCUAUCCGUUUCCCUUCCUAACAAGAGCGUUAGUUUGCGGGGGGGGGAGGGGCACACAGCCUCCGUGCGCUUGCUCAGCAGCCCCCAGCAAGCACAGCAGACAGCCAAGGCCAGGAGAAAAGGCACAGAGGAAGCCAAGGAGCUAGUGAUGGUCCACCCGAGGCUCUCCAGCUGUUGUUGGACUACAGUUCUCAUCUUCCAUAGCUGCUGGUGGAGGGACUACAGCUCCCAUCACCCUGUCAUAAGAAAUGGUGGCCAGGGAUGAUAGAAGCUAGUCCAGUCAUCCCCAGCCACCACAUAUUGCAGUUAUUGGAGCUGUAGUCCCUACAACAGCAGCGGGGGUGAUGGGAGUUGUAGUCCAGUGAAAGCUAGAGAGCCUCAGGUUGGCCACCUCUGUAGUAAUUAAUAUAGUCUGCUUGUGUAGUACCUAAUGUGUUUAUGAAGAAAUCCCAGCACAUUUUUGGCAGCAGCUCUUUGGCAGGGGGCUGCAUAAAGACAUCAACAUGAAAUCAAGGUAGUUGAAAUGGAGGGUCAUUGAGAAAAUAAUGUUUAAGUCAUAGCAGGUCUGCCAAUCUGAAGCUCACACUUGUUAUCUUUUUCUUUUCUCUCCAUCCUACCAGCAAAGAAGCGCUUCCCAGAAUCCCUCUUGGCAUUGCUAUUGAGGCAAGUGCUGAGGCGGCCUCAGCCAUGUCAGUACACAUCAACACUGUGACAAAUCUCCCCUCGUAUGGAAUUGUGGGCCCUAGACAAGGCAGGAAGAGGUUGAGGAGAACAAGCCCACACCAGAUUCCCAUUCCCUUUCCAGCUAGGUUCCCAAAAGCCUCAAGUCCAUUCAAGGUGUUGGGAGAAGACCCCACAACCAAAGGAUUCUUUUGUGUGGAAAGGAGGAUAGUUCUCCAUGCAGAGGAUGGAGACAUAUAGAGAGGAUGGAGACAUAUAGAGCUCCAUACAGAGCCUUCACCUCUGAGGCAAAAAUAACCCCCUUCUGAACAGGGAGGCAUGGUUGAACCGCAAAGCUUCACCCCAGGAGUGGAAGCCACACCUUAGUUUACAGAACUCCUUUCAAACUAGUUUCUAAAGUAGUGGCCUGAGUUUGCAACUCCAUCUGCCCCAUCUCUUGAUUCUGAGCCUGGGUGCAAAACCACACCUCCUCCUAGCAUUGCAUGCAGUGUGGGGUGCUGGUUUUGCAUCCAUUCCCAGAAGGGUAUAAGAAACAGGCCUGGGAAACACAGUGUACCAUGCGGUGACUGCAUCCUCGGUAGGGAUGUUCCUGAAUCGGCACAUCUGAACUGGGCGAAUCGUUUCGGUACCUAAUGAGGCGCCAAAAUGAUUUGAGCACAUCCCUUAUCCUCAAUCUGUAGGUCCAUCCAGAGGGAUGUGGGCAUGCUAAUAAAAGCAAUCCCCAACCUCUGCUGGCUUUCUGCAGGAACACCUUGGCAUCCGCUCACCCCCCUGGAUGACAGUGUGGGAUUAGCUGGCCGCCUUUUGGGGCCGAGUAGGAAUUUUGCCCAUCCACCCAGAUUGGCCUGGAGGUGGCUGGUUUUUUGCCUACUCUGCACUGUUGCACUGGAAGGGGUUUUUGAUCUGGCCCAUGUUAGGAGCGGUGCCUUUAAAUAGAGUAGCCCCUUAGUCACCAGCACCAUGAUGGCAGCUCAGAGGAGGGGAUACGGUGCUGCACCCUAGGGGUGGCAGCUGCACUGUGGCUUGACUACACUGCAGCUCUCUGUUGGAGCUAGGUUAAUAAAGUUACCGCCCUAGUUUUAACCCA